AAAGCUGGGGGAGCGAACAGGAUUAGAUACCCUGGUAGUCCCAGCCGUAAACGAUGGACGCCUAGGUGUGGGGGGACGAUCCCCCCCGUGCCGCAGCCAACGCAUUAAGUAUUCCACCUGGGGAGUACGAUCGCAAGGUUGAAACUCAAAGGAAUUGACGGGGGCCCGCACAAGCGGUGGAUUAUGUGGUUUAAUUCGAAGCAACGCGAAGAACCUUACCAGGGCUUGACAUCCUACUAACGAGAUAGAGAUAUGUUAGGUGCCCUUCGGGGAAAGUAGAGACAGGUGGUGCAUGGUUGUCGUCAGCUCGUGUCGUGAGAUGUUGGGUUAAGUCCCGCAACGGGCGCAACCCCUAUUGUUAGUUGCUACGCAAGAGCACUCUAGCGAGACUGCCGUUGACAAAACGGAGGAAGGUGGGGACGACGUCAAAUCAUCAUGCCCCUUAUGUCCUGGGCUACACACGUAAUACAAUGGCGGUCAACAGAGGGAUGCAAAACCGUGAGGUGGAGCGAACCCCUAAAAGCCGUCCCAGUUCAGAUCGUGGGCUGCAACCCGCCCACGUGAAGUCGGAAUCGCUAGUAAUCGCGGAUCAGCAUGCCGCGGUGAAUACGUUCCCGGGCCUUGUACACACCGCCCGUCACACCAUGAGAGUCGGGAACACCCGAAGCCCGUAGCCUAACCUAACGGAGGGCGUGGUCGAAGGUGGGUUCGAUAAUUGGGGUGAAGUCGUAACAAGGUAACCGUAAAGGGCGAA
rnacentral:rRNA from 1 species